rnacentral:rRNA from 1 species
UACGAAGGGUGCAAGCGUUACUCGGAAUUACUGGGCGUAAAGCGUGCGUAGGCGGUCUGUCGCGUCUGCUGUGAAAACCUGGGGCUCAACCCCGGGCCUGCAGCCGAUACGGGCAAGCUAGAAUUCGGUAGGGGAGACUGGAAUUCCUGGUGUAGCGGUGAAAUGCGCAGAUAUCAGGAGGAACACCGGUGGCGAAGGCGGGUCUCUGGGCCGAUAUUGACGCUGAGGAGCGAAAGCGUGGGGAGCAAACAGG